GGUCUAGUGGCCUAGUGGUUAGAGCGUCCGCCUUGUAUGUGGGAGGUCGCAGGUUCGAACCCCAGCCGAGCUAUACCA